rnacentral:siRNA from 1 species
AAAGUGGAACAGUGGAAAAUGGU